rnacentral:lncRNA from 1 species
AUGGCUUUAAUAAUCUACACUUGGAAGUUACCCAGAAUCACUUUCUCCUUAUUGCAUGCAACUCUAAUGUUGGCUCCCUACCCUGCAAGGAACAGAGAGUCUGAGCUCAUCCAGCAACCACUCUCCCACUCUUCCAAGAGAGAUGAUCAUGAGCAGACUAUUAUAAAGCACAAAGGGAGCACAUUCUACUCUCUUGGGUACCUGCUCCACCCACCACUUUUUAUUCAUUCACUUGACAAAUAUAUGCUGCUUAUGCGGCAGACACUGGGAACACAGGUGUGCACACAGCUGUUUCUCCUUUCUUGGGUGAACUUGGUGAGGAAUUUAAGCAUUUCACCAGAGUGUGUUGAGAAACCCAGAAGCACUUCAGGGGGAUGAGGGAAAUAACAUGGGGACUUAAACUAGCCAGUGUGGAUCAGGAAAGGCUAUAUUCUGAGCUUUUUCUUCACCUCACCCUCCGUAUUCUAAACCUGUCUGUAUUACCCAUCCCUCCACAACCAGCCCCCAAAUAUCCUGAGAUUCCCAACUCAAGCCAUUACUCCCACCUGAGCAGGGCACUUGCUCAGUUGAGAAUGCUGGGCUGGGCGCAGUGGCUCACACCUGUAAUCCCAGCACUUUGGGAGGCCAAGGCGGGUGGAUCACCUGAAGUCGGGAGCUCGAGAGCAGCUUGACCAACAUGGAGAAACCCUGUCUCUACCAAAAACACAAAAUCAGCCAGGCAUGGUGGCGCAUGGCUGUAAUCCCAGCUACUCCGGAGGCUGAGGAAGGAGAGUUGCUUGAGCUUGGGAGGUGGAGGUUGCAGUGAGCCAAGAUCUUGCCAUUGCACUCCAGCCUGGGCAACAAGAGCGAAAUUCCAUCUCAAAAAAAAAAAAAGAAGGAAAAAAAUAAAAGAAUGCUUUGCCUGGAAGGCAAUUGUGGAUAUUUCGGACUGACUUUCUUCAUUAUUUACUGUGCUUCCAGCUGAAAAGCACAACAGCACAACGUUACAGCAGCUUCCCCCGCCGACUACGUACUCUGAUAGUUUCGUAAAUAGCUACUGCCAUCUAGUGGACAAAGAUGACUUUACAUCAGUACAUUGCCCCACGGAAAUGAAAAUUCUCAGCGUUUCCUAUUUCUUACAACCACUUCAUCCAAUCUUAACGGAAUCCAAAAGACCACUCACUUUUCCUUUGAAAGCCUAAGGCCUAGAAUAUUUUAAGUAUUCAACAUUGUUUGGACAAAGGACUUUUCACGGGCAUUGUCAUUAAUUUUAUAUGUAACAUAAAUAUUGUAGUAAUAUUGUUGGAGAAUUUUAUUGCAAUGGCUUUAGACAAUUAUUCCCUUAUAAGUUAUUUAUUGCUAUUUAUUGCUAUAGCUUUAGACAAUUAUUCCCUUAGAAGUCUAUUAAGGGCUGGGCGUGGUGGCUUAUGCUUGUAAUCCCAGCACUUUGGGAGGUGGGCAGAUUGCCUGAACUCAGGAUACUGAGCCUGGGUACACGGUGAAACCCCAUCUCUACUAAAAUACAAAACAUUAGCUGGGCGUGGCAGCGUGCGCCUGUAGUCCCAGCUACUCGGGAGACUGAGGCAGAAUUGCUUGAGCCCGGGAGGUGGAGGCUGCAGCAAGCUGCACCACUGCACUUCAGCCUGGGCGAUAGAGCAAGACUCCAUCUCCAAAAAAAAAAAAAAAAAAAGAAAAGAAAAGAAAAACAUCUAAUAAGGUCAAAUAGAAACUUGAAAAGCUAUAGUAAUAAAAACACAUUUUAGAAUAUAAUCAUAUUGCCAAGUUCAGCAGAAACUCCUAAACUGGACCUGGAGAUUAAAUUUUUUGGCCUGUCUUCCCAAUCCAGUAGCGCCCUGUGCAGCAGGGACAGAACCAACCAUCUAAGUCAUGGAGUUUCCUUCUAUCAACUAAAACCUCUUUACAGUAACUUGUAAAAGCAAAUUUUGCCACCGUGUAGAUUUGUGCAUGCACAGCCAGAGCAUCCACCAUCCCUCCAUUGUAAGGUUAUUUGGAGAAUCAAGUAAGGGGAGAAGCAAAUGCCAUUAACUCAAAAUUGAAUGGAAAGUGGUAGGCAUUGUUGUCCCUAUGGUUACCUUCUCUUCCUCUAAAGCUUACCUAAUAAACAGCUAAUUCGACAUUUACAUGGUUUAAACAUCUUUACUGGCUUUUUAAACUACUAGCCCACAGCAGAACCCUAAUUACAAACAAUAGGCCAGGCGCAGUGGCUCACACUUGUAAUCCCAGCAGUUUGGGAGGUCAAGGCGGUAAGAUCGUUUGAGGUCAAAAAUUCAAGACUAGCCUGGACAACAUGGCAAAACCCCCGCUCUACAGAAAAUAUAAAAAUUAGCUGGGCAUGGUGUCCCAGCUACUCGGAAGGUGGGAGAAUGCAAAGGUGGGAGGCAAACAUUGCAGUGAGAUCGCACUACCGCACUCCAGCCUGGGUAAGGGAGGCUAUCUCAAAAAAAAAAAAAAUCCAAUUCCCCAGAUUAGACUACGUGAUGACAUUAAGGGUACUCCACCUGAGCCUCAGUGUCAUCUAUAAACACAUUCUGGUUUAUAAACAGAUGAAAAAAUACAAAUAACUGAGAAAACCUAGCAAAUAUUCCCACCUUCCCAAGCCCCAAUUCCUUACUAUACAUUAUACAUGUCCAACAAGGUGUUAUCUGUAUAGGGGAAACAUUGCCAUAUUUACUCUAACUUCAUGUUUCACUAAUGUUUCAGCUAACAUUAACCUGAAGUUCAAAAAUUUGCAGUAACAGCUACCACUGAAAACCUUCCACAUUAAGAUUCCAUGUGAAACAAGAUAAAAGUGUUAUUUACCCUUUAGUCUCGUUUUGAGUUAAGGCAUCAAAAAGUUUGUAACCAUCUCAGAUACAUGGUACGCCCAUGUGCAUUAACAUACGCUUCCAGAACCAGCUACUUGGAACUAAGGCUGGGUGACCACUUGGGGCCAGUUCCAGUCCAGCCUGUACAAGUGAGCACACACCCCUAAGGAAAACUAAAGCCCAGGUAAAAUUCUCACCCAAAGAAACAUGCCAAAAAUUUGUACUACUGCCAGGUGCGGUGACCCACGCCUGUAAUCCCAGCGUUUUGGAAGGCUGAGGCAGGCGCAUCACCUGAGGUAGGGAAAUCAGCCUGAACAACGUGGAGAAAGCCCGUCUCUACUAAAAAAUGCAAAUUAG